GAUGAACGCUGGCGGCGUGCUUAACACAUGCGAGUCGAACGAUGAACCUCACUUGUGGGGGGAUUAGUGGCGAACGGGUGAGUAACACGUGAGUAACCUGCCCUUGACUCUGGGAUAAGCCUGGGAAACCGGGUCUAAUACUGGAUACGACCUUCUGGCGCAUGCCAUGUUGGUGGAAAGCUUUUGUGGUUUUGGAUGGACUCGCGGCCUAUCAGCUUGUUGGCGGGGUAAUGGCCUACCAAGGCGACGACGGGUAGCCGGCCUGAGAGGGUGACCGGCCACACUGGGACUGAGACACGGCCCAGACUCCUACGGGAGGCAGCAGUGGGGAAUAUUGCACAAUGGGCGCAAGCCUGAUGCAGCGACGCCGCGUGAGGGAUGAAGGCCUUCGGGUUGUAAACCUCUUUCAGUAGGGAAGAAGCCGGCUUUUGGGUUGGUGACGGUACCUGCAGAAGAAGCGCCGGCUAACUACGUG
rnacentral:rRNA from 1 species